CGUGGGUAACCUACCCUGAAGUUGGGGACAACUCUUCGAAAGGGGAGCUAAUACCGAAUGUGGUCCCCCCCCGCAUGUGGGGGAGACUAAAGGUGGAAUCCUUCGGGAUCUGCCGCUUCUGGAGGGGCCCGCGUGACAUCAGCUUGUUGGUGAGGUAAUGGCUCACCAAGGCUUACGUCUGGCUGGUCUGAGAGGAUGUCAGCCACACUGGGACUGAGACACUGCCCAGACUCCUACGGGAGGCUGCAGUCGAGAAUCAUUCACAAUGCGCGAAAGCGUGAUGAUGCGACGCUGCGUGGAGGAUGAAGGCCCUAGGGUUGUAAACUCCUGUCAUGAGGGAAAAACCGCACGGAUGUAAAUAGCGUCUGUGUUUGAUGGUACCUCAAGAGGAAGCCACGGCUAACUCUGUGCCAGCAGCCGCGGUGAUACAGAGGUGGCGAGCGUUGUUCGGAUUUACUGGGCGUAAAGCGUACGUAGGUGGUUUCGUGUGUCGGGUGUGAAAGCCCACGGCCCAACCGUGGAAUUGCACUCGAAACUGCGGGACUUGAGUGCAGGAGGGGAGAGCGGAAUUCAGGGUGUAGCGGUGAAAUGCGUUGAUAUCCUGAAGAACACCGGUGGCGAAGGCGGCUCUCUGGAAUGUUACUGACACUGAGGUACGAAAGCGUGGGGAGCGAACAGGAUUAGAUACCCUGGUAGUCCACGCCGUAAACGUUGUGCACUUGGUGUGGGCGGUAUUGACCCCGUCCGUGCCGGAGCUAACGCGUUAAGUGCACCGCCUGGGGAGUACGGCCGCAAGGCUAAAACUCAAAGAAAUUGACGGGGGCCCGCACAAGCGGAGGAGCAUGUGGCUCAAUUCGAUGCAACGCGAAGAACCUUACCUGGACUUGACAUGUAACUGCAUGCCCCGGGAAACCGGGGAGGCCUUCGAGGGUGUUACACAGGUGCUGCAUGGCUGUCGUCAGUUCGUGCCGUGAGGUGUUGGGUUAAGUCCCGCAACGAACGCAACCCUUGUGUUUAGUUGCCACCGGUGGUGAUGAGCCACCGAGCACUCUAAACAGACUGCCUGUACAAGCAGGAGGAAGGUGGGGAUGACGUCAAGUCAGUAUGCCCCUUAUGUCCAGGGCUGCACACGUGCUACAAUGGCCGGUACAAUGGGAAGCAAUACCGCGAGGUGGAGCAAAUCCUCAACACCGGUCCCAGUUCGGAUUGGAGUCUGCAACUCGACUCCAUGAAGUUGGAUUCGCUAGUAAUGCCGUAUCAGCUACGACGGCGUGAAUACGUUCCCGGGCCUUGUACACACCGCCCGUCACAUCAUGAAAGCCGUCUGCACCCGAAGUCGCCGAGCUAACCCGCAAGGGAGGCAGGUGCCGAAGGUGUGGGUGGUGAUUGGGAUGAAGUA
rnacentral:rRNA from 1 species